GGCCGAUUAGCUAGUUGGCGAGGUAAUGGCUCACCAAGGCAAUGAUCGGUAGCCGGACUGAGAGGUUGGCCGGCCACACUGGAACUGAGACACGGUCCAGACUCCUACGGGAGGCAGCAGUGGGGAAUCUUGCACAAUGGGCGAAAGCCUGAUGCAGCAACGCCGCGUGGGGGAUGAAGCUUCUCGGAGUGUAAACCCCUUUCGACCCGGAAGAAAGCCCGCAAGGGUUUGACGGUACGGGUAUAAGAAGCCCCGGCUAACUACGUGCCAGCAGCCGCGGUAAUACGUAGGGGGCCAGCGUUGCUCGGAAUUACUGGGCGUAAAGGGUCCGUAGGCGGUGUGGCAAGUCGGGAGUGAAAUCUCUGGGCUUAACCCAGAGGCUGCUUCCGAAACUGCCGUGCUAGAGUGUGAGAGAGGCGAGUGGAAUUGCGGGUGUAGCGGUGAAAUGCGUAGAUAUCCGCAGGAACAUCCGAGGCGAAAGCGGCUCGCUGGAUCACAACUGACGCUGAGGGACGAAAGCUAGGGGAGCA
rnacentral:rRNA from 1 species